rnacentral:piRNA from 1 species
UACACAAUGGCUGUUCUACACUCAGGAAUC